rnacentral:rRNA from 1 species
CAAGAACGUCGACAUAGAAAUCUCGGCAAGAGGAAUUCCUCCCCACUAGUGGGUGGUGCUGAGGUUUGCGUUACUUGCAAAGAACAUAGGCACUUGCCCGUAUGCUGUCCUCGUGUAAUAUGUGGAAGGUGUGGUGUACAAGGGCAUCCUGUUCCAAGCUGCAAUAAUGUGCUUCCAUGGGAAUGCGUGGCACCAAUGUGUGGAUUUCAGGUUAAGGGGAAGGGUUUUUAUUACAUACAUGACUCCAGCACACCAAAUCAGAACACUGACAAGAAUAGAUUUAUUGUGGUCACUGUUGUGGAGGGGCACGCCUCAGAUAGACAGGGAAUUUUUAACGCUUACACAAAUACUAAUUGGAAGUGUUCUGCCAAAUCAAUUGGCCCUAAUACUUGUGAUGAGGUUUCCUUCACCCAGAGAUGUGGAUAA